ACUCCGGAGAGGAGUCUGCGAGGGGUGGAGCUGUCUCGGGGGGUGCCGCGGCCGGUAGCUGGCAGCCAGAUCGUGGGGUGCUCGGGCUGGCCCCACCCCGCCCCCAGGCUGCCCCAGCUUGGAGAUCGGGGCUCUAACACCCAGCUGAGCGCUUCCCCCGUUCCAGAGCCUUCGCCCCCGCAGGAGCUGCCCUCCGAAGGCGUCGCCGCCCCCUCAAGGGCCGAGGUGUGCGCCUGAACCGAGGCGCGGUCCUAGAGCACAGAAUGAUCCUUCUCCGGAGGAUCGGGGAUUUGGGGCCGGGGGUUGCAGCGGCCUUCCCACAGAAACUGAGAGACUCAAAGAAAGAUGGAGAGAAGGGAGAGGAGACACAAGUGUAGCACUGUUCCACCAAUCAUGAAGCUUCCCUGCUACAGGUUCCAGAUGAUACCAUGAUGCCAACCCAACUUCCUUGGGCAGAGGACCCUACUGUGUGUCCUGGAGCCCCUCAUCCCCUAGAUGCCUACCCCACUAGGGAAAGAGAGAGACAGGCUGGGAGUAUGGAUUGACUUGCCAAUGCCCAUGUUCAGCGGAGAAGCGGUUACAGAAAUCAGACCUUCCCCUUUCUGCACCCCAUAAUGGUCCUGGGUCCAUACUCCCAGAGGAAUAAAGAAUAGGGCAACUAUCAAGGGAGGGGAUUGGAGCUCUGAGGAGGGCAAUGUGUG